CCCCUUCAUUGCGCCCAUCUGUGCCGCGGUCUCCGCAUGGCUCGCCGCCACCUCAUGCAGCUGCGAUCCAACUCCAACAGACAAGAAGUUUCUCCCUGCGUCACUUGGACAUUUCAUCGAAAUCUGAACCCCCUUGAUGCUGCUCGUUUCAUAAUUGGCAUAAGAUGAAGUGGAGGUAAGUACUUCCCUGCAUGACCCUGAUUCACUUUUGUUUUUCUUCAGAACUGAGUUUUGACAAUCAAAUCUCUAAUCUUUUAUGGCGUCAAAGUUCCAAAAUAUGUCCUAAGGAUAAUUUCAAGCUCUAAACUAAUGGCAGGUAAUCUGUUCCACAUGCAAGUGUUCAAUUUCAUAAUAUACGUGAGAGAUAGCAUAUUUUUUGAUAAAAAAGAACUCAUAUAUAUGCUUUUUCCUUACAAGUAUAGUUUAUACUACCAGUGGUAUUUGCAAUCGUCAUGUUAGGUAUGCGUGGAUGCUCUCAUUAUAGCUUGGUAAGUCUCAUGGUGCAGCCUUUCAUGUCAGUAUUAAUAUAUGAUCCCGAUAGCAUUAGUUACCACCUAAUAUGACCACUGUACUGUUGUCUUCAGAGAAUAGACAUCUUGCAUCCUUCCAAUGCUAUUGUUUAAUAAACAUCUUGCAUCCUUCAAAUGAUACUGUUUAUAUUUGACCUUUUAGUACAAUUUGAUCUUGAAUCAAAGAGUCCGUUCUAUUAAAUUGACUACAGUUUAAUCUUCAGUGGAAGCCAUGAUGACUUCUACUGAAUGAUGCUUGAUAUAACCUCAUUUACAGGUUAAUUGAAGUAUUCUAAUUUCAUCAUGUAAAUUUGGGUCACCACACAUAUCCUAUAUCUUAUACACAAAUAAUUUGUUUGUUUAAUAUGCAGGAUCCUGGGAGACCAUGAAAAAAAAUCCGAAACUGAAGCAAACAUGGACGAGUGAAAUACAAAUUAGCUGCAAGCAUGAAGCUUUUUAAAUAGAUUUUGAUUUUAUAAAAAUUAGGGGUGAUAUGUAACAUUUUCAGUUUGUUAGAUGAUUGUUGACUGUAUAUGCUCUAAUAUGAAAUGAGUAUUGGUUCCUAUGAGGUUU